GUUGAACGCUGGCGGCGUGCUUAACACAUGCAAGUCGAGCGGUGGAAGGUAACUUUCUACCUUACCUUGCGACGGACGGGUGAGUAAUGCUUAGGAAGCUACCUUAUAGUUAGGGCCGACAUCUCGAAGGGGAUGCGAAUCCCGCAUACGUCCUACUUUAGAAAGCAAUGGAUCAUCGGACCUUGCGCGAAUAGAUGAGACUAAUUCGGGUUUGCUAGUUGGUGGGGUAAGUGCCUAACCAGGCGACGAUCUGUAGCAAGUCUGAGAGGAUGAUCCGCCAAAAUGGGAAUGAGAAAAGGCUCAGACUCCUACGGGAGGCAGCAGUGGGGAAUAUUGGACCAUGGGGGGAAACCUGAUCGAGCCAUGCCGCGUGUGUGAAGAAGGCCUUAUGGUUGUAAAGAACCUUAAGCGAGGAGGAGGCUAAUUUGGUUAAUACCUAGAGCAACUGGACGUUACCUGAAGAAUAAGCACCGGCUAACUAUGUG
rnacentral:rRNA from 1 species